GUGAGGAAUCUUCCACAAUGGGCGAAAGCCUGAUGGAGCAACGCCGCGUGAAGGAUGAAGGUCUUCGGAUUGUAAACUUCUUUUAUGAGUGAAGAAUAUGACGGUAACUCAUGAAUAAGCACCGGCUAACUACGUGCCAGCAGCCGCGGUCAUACGUAGGGUGCAAGCAUUAUCCGGAGUGACUGGGCGUAAAGAUUUGCGUAGGCGGUUAUGUAAGCGAAUAGUGAAACCUGGUGGCUCAACCACACAGACUAUUAUUCGAACUGCAUAACUCGAGAAUGGUAGAGGUAACUGGAAUUUCUUGUGUAGGAGUGAAAUCCGUAGAUAUAAGAAGGAACACCAAGGGCGUAGGCAGGUUACUGGGCCAUUUCUGACGCUAAGGCACGAAAGCGUGGGGAGCGAACCGGAUUAGAUACCCCUGUAGUCC
rnacentral:rRNA from 1 species